CAUCUUCUUCUUCUUCUUGUUUAUCCAUAAUUUCUUCCAACACACCCCACCUACCAUAUAAAUAUCUUUUAUUUCUCUCUACACCUAACCACCAUUAGACAACCACAGAAACCACCGAUAUAUAGUCGAAACCACCAUACCGCCAUCGUCGAUCGUUGCUAGGAAACAAUCAGAACACCGCCGCAACGACCGAAACACCGCCAUAACGACCGGAAAGCUGCCGAAACACCGCCAAAACAACCGGAAAGCUGUUGAAACACCACUGAAACAACCGGAACACCGCAUCUUCGCUUAUCAUCAUAUGCCUCCGCAUCCCUCUGUUUGGGAGGAGAAUAAAAGAACCGAAGGAGCGAAUCACGGACUCCGCCACAGGUGGCAUUUCGCUGCCUCCCAUCUCACUAAAAAGUAUGAGCUUGGCGGUGGCCACCAGUCAAUUUCCGUGACAGAGUGGUUAAGAGUAAGAUCUACUAAACAACAAAAAAAACGUAAGAGAAAGCACAUGAGAUCCGGGCUCUUUGAAGGUCGGAGAUUUGAAUGAUUGAACUAGAAAAGAAGAUCUAGCUCAGAUAAUGGUGGUGUCCGAUUAAUCGGCACCAUUGUGUUGUUGCUGCAACAUGGAUUUGAGUCUUAGCCUUAGACGGAGAAGAAAUAUCCGCCGGAGGAAGCAGCCUUCGGAGAUGAAGUUGCCGGAAGAGAAAUCAGCUACUACGAUGGAAUUCUUGCCUCUACUUUUGCGUGUGAAUUGAAAUCAGGUAGUGGGUGGUAGAUAUGAGUGGUGGUGCAUGGUAGGUUAUGGUGGUGGUGGAGGGUGGUAGGUAAUUACAACAGGUUGUGGUUGUGGAUGGUGAUUGAUGGGGGUCAAGGGUGAUAGUUGGUUUGUGGUGGUGGGUGGUGGUUGUGGUGGUGAUAGGUGGUGGUGGUGGUGAAGGGUGACGUGUGGAUGUUAGGUGGUGGUUAUGAUGGGUGGUGGAUGGGUUGGUGGUGGUGGUGUUGAUGGGUGGGUUAUGACGGGUGGUGGUGGCGUGUGGUGACGUUUGGUGUUGGUGGUAGUGGUAGGCGGUAGGUAGUGAUGGUGGUAGGUGGUAAUGAUAUGGUUGGGUGGUGGCGUGUAGUGGUGAUGGUGGUGACGGGUACUGGUGAUGGGUUGUGGUAGUGGGUAAUUGUGGUGCGUAGGUGAGUGGUGGUUGGUGGGUGGUGGCGGGUGGUGGUUUUGGUGGUUAGUGGACGGUGGCAGGUGGCGGUUUUGGUGGGUGAUGGGUGAUGGUGGUGGUGACGGCGAAUGGUGAUGAUGGGUGGUGGAGGCAGGUGAUGAUGAUGGAUAGUGGUGGGUGGGUGGUGGUUGGAGGUGGGGGUGGUGGUAAUGCAUGGAUAGUUAUGUUUCAGUUUGAGGAUGGUGAUGACUACUCGAUGAGGUUCGGGUUCUAGUUCGAGUUUGGGUUCUGGUUCAGGCUCGGGUUUCGGUGCUAAGCCAAUUGAUGAGAGGUUGUGCAAGUUCAUUUCGGACGAUGGUACUCGUGGUAUCUUGGAUGCUACCAUUAUGUUGUUUGGUACCAUAAAGGAGGGAAUUAUUGAGUUAAUGGAUAAGAGGCUCAGGUCCUUUUGAUCCGAGAUUGCAGCGGGUCAGAUCGGAGCUUGAACUCUCUCAUUUCGAGAGUUGAAGGCUUGUGGAGCUCGUGAGUUCUUUGGGGCUAAGGACCCCAUCGAUGGAUUGCUGACAUGGAGAAUGAUCAAAUGACGAGCUUUUUCCCUAAGGAGGAAAAGGUAGGAUUUGCAUCCUGCCUACUGAGGGACAGAGCACAUGACUGGUGGGAGGAGGUUACCCGAGCCGUAGUGACAGCGGCAGUGGCAGUGAUGACUUGGGAGGAUUUUGUUCAGAGAUUCCAAAGGGAGUUUGCACCAGAUAUCGAGAUGCAACAGCUGGUGAGGGAAUUCUAGGACCUUCUAUAGACAACUAAGACUAUGGCGGAGAUCACCACCAAGUUUAAAGAGAUGGAUCUAUUGGUUCCGCAGUACGCUGUGGAUGAGGAGAUGAAGAAGACGAGGUAUCAUGACAUGUUGAGAGAUGACAUCUGGGGGUUUGUGAGAUUUUCGUCGUGCAAGACCCAAAAUGAUAUGAUUGAGAGGGCCCGUGAGUGGGAGAUUGAGUUGGAGCUUAGGUCGAUGCGCAAGCCAUAGUAGGCACAGACUGUUGUGGGCCAGAGCAAGAAGCCCAAGGUUUCUGAUUCAUAUAGCAAGAUAAUUUCAAAUCAAAUAAUGCAAAUAAUUAGCUAAUCAUAUCAACUAGCAAAUAUCUUAAAAUUUUGACAAUUAUCUUUUAAUUUGGAUGAAGAUAAUCAUUACCUUAUCAUAAAAAAUGAUUUUUAUUAGUCAAAACAGUUUAUGGUAAUGAUUCUAAUCCAAAACUUGGCCAUAAACCUGGAAAUCUGCCCACUAAACAGUCACCACGUCAUGGUAACUAUGACCACGUCGUGGUCAUAAGGCAGAUUCCAAAAAAGAAACUAUUUCCUUGCUUUGAACAAUUACCAAUGCAACAAUAUAACAGAAAACACCCUAGUCUCUGAUACCACUGAUGAGUUUUGAGCACUAUAACAUCCCUAUGGUGCACAUACAACCCUAAUGCUCUGGAUCUAAUUUUUCUCUAAUUAUACAUGCAAUUUGAUUUUUCCAAAUCAUGAAGCCUAACUAACAUACAACUUUGAUAAUUGAAACAAAAAAACAAGUUGGAUGAUUACCUCUUUGUUGUAGCUUGUAGAACUUGUCCUUACAAGAGCUUAGCACCUCAAGUGUGAUGCUUCAAAUGUGUCACAAACACCAAGAACAAUGGAGGACAAUGAGAGAGAGCUUGGAGGCACCUAAAUCGGCUAGCUUCUUCUUAGAAUACUCAUGUGUGCCGAUUUUAGGGCUUUAGGGGUUACAUAUAUAGUGUAGAAUUACAUGGGUCACUUGUAAACCCUAAUCCAUUCACUUAGGCUUUUGAUCCAAUAAUUCAUUUUGGACUAACACUUCGUGAGCUCUCAUAUAAGCUUAGUCUAUUACUAAUCAAUCAUGGAUCAUUAGCCCAAACUAUAUGUAUCACUGAUUUACAUAAUCAGUCCCCGUUAAUUUAAUUAGUCUCUUUUGAUCACUAAAUUAAUUCCAAAUUAAUUCUUGAUCAAUGCCAAUUAAAUAAUAUGAUUUCUCAAUUAAUAUAUUAUACUUAUAAUAUAUUAAUAAAUCACAAAUAACCUCUUUCUCAAAUAUCCAUCCUAUCAAAUUGCUUCGGUGAAGGCAACCCAAAUGGAUCAUGCUACUAUCGAGUCAAGUACAUACCAAUUAUAGUUAUGAGCUUAGACAUUUAAUCCAACAUGCUUUGCAUGGUCCAACUCUCUGUUCAACUGCAAGGGCCGGGAGAUAUUUGUAACAUGGUUGUUCUUGGUUUAUGGCUUAUACCAUGGACACUCGGGUUGAGGAGACAACAUAAUUGAGUGAAGUGUCCAUUAUUCGGGAUUUCCCUGAUGUGUUUAUUGGGGAUUUACCAGGAGUGCCUCCUGAGAGGCAAGUAGAGUUUCAGAUUGAUCUGGUACCUUGUGUAGUCCCGAUAGCCAAGACAACGUAUCUUAUGCUACCAUCUGAGAUGCAGGAGUUGUCUAUGCAGCUUCUAGAGCUGCUAGACAAGGGUUUCAUUCAUCCGAGCAACUCUCUGUGGGGAGCAUCAACCCUGUUUGUGAAGAAGAAAGAUGGUUCACACAAGAUGUGCAUCGAUUACCAGGAGUUGAAUAAGCUAAGGGUGAGAACCGUUACCCACUUCUGAGGAUUGACAACUUGUUUGAUCAGCUUCUGGGUGCCUCUUCGUUUUAGAAGAUAGAUUUGUGAUCUGGGUACCAUCAGAUGAGGGUAAGGAGUGAUGAUGUUCAAAAGAAGGCCUUCGGAACUCGCUAUGGAUAUUACGAGUUUGUGGUGAUGCCAUUUGGGCUCACCAACACGCCAGCAAUCUUCAUGGAGCUCAUGAACCGAGUUUGCAGACCGAUGUUGGAUCGAUCUGUGAUUGUAUUCUUUGAUGAUAUUCUGGUCUACUCCAAGACCAAGGAGCAGCAUGAGGAUCAUCUACGAGAUGUGUUGGAGACCCUGAGGAAGGAGAGGCUUUAUGCCAAGUUCCCCAAGUGUGAGUUCUAGUUGCGCGAAGUGCAAUUUUUGGGGCACAGCGUCAACUAGAAUUGUAUAUUGGUCGACCCGGUCAAGAUCGAGGUUGUGAUGCGGUGGGAGGUUUCAAGCAUGGUUGUCAAAAUUGCAAUCCUGAUCGUAGGAUCAUACAAUUCUACGAUCCUAGGUAUGAAAAAUGAUUCAGAUCGUAAACAGAUCGUAUUUGGGGUAGGAACGUAAGAUCGUAAGUAGGAUCGUAGGAUCGAGAUCCAACCCGAUCCUACCUUCGCUUGUUUUUUUUUGCGCAUGAAUAUUUUUUUACCUCUUUAUGUUUUUCACCAUUUACCAAUUUACCGUUUAUCAUUUUGUGUUAUGACUUAUGACUAAUAUUUCGAAGUUUUUAUAACUUUUGAACGAAAAAUUGAAUGUUUGAAAUAUUUUUCACGAUUAAAAAUUAUAAAUUAAAAUUAUGUUUUACUUUGUAGGAUCUUCAGAUCCCGAUCCCGAUCUUACGAUCUCGAUCUUACAAACCCAAAAACGAUCCUACAUAGGAUCCCGAUCUUGACAACCUUGGUUCCGAGGACCGCAUCUGAGAUUUGGAGUUUCAUAGGUCUCGCAUGGUAUUUUCGGAGUUUUAUCCAGGAUUUCUCCAAGAUUGCAAUGUCAUUGACCCGCUUGAUGAAAAAGAAUUUGACCUUUCAGUGGGGGCAUGGCCAACAGUUAGCUUUUGAGAUCCUGAGGCAAAGAUUGUGUGAGGCCCUAAUUCUCACGCUCCCGGAGAGCUUGGAUGAUUUUGUAAUUUAUUGUGAUGCCUUUAUUUCGGGUUUGGAAGCGGUGCUUAUGCAGAUAAGUCACAUGAUUGCUUACAUCUCGAGGCAUCUGAAGCCUCAUGAGGUGAACUACCUUAUGCAUGAUUUGGAGUUAGGGGUCGUGGUUUUUGCCCUCAAUAUUUGGAGACACUAUUUGUAUGGGUUUCGAUGCUCUAUCUACACGAAACACAAAAUUUUGAGGUAUUUUAUGGACUAGCCGAAUCUGAAUAUGUGGUAGCGGAGAUGCUUGGAUGUCGGAAAGGAUUAUGAUUGCGAGAUCUCAUACCAUCCUGAGAAGGAAAAUAUGGUGGCCGAUGCUUUGAGCUACAAGGUUGGGAGUUCAUCUAUCAGAUAUACCUGUUUGAGGAUGAUUGUCACUUUGCCUUUGAUGGAUUCAAUCAAGAAGCCUCAGGUAGAGGGGUUGAAAAAAGAAAACUGGAAGACCGAGUAGAUCAGAGGACGGGUUCCCUUAUUUAUCAGAGAUAGCCAAGGGUUGUUAACUCGGUAUAGUAGAGUCUGGGUUCCAACAUUGGGUGGGGUGAGGCGGAUGGUUUUAAAGGAGGUGCAUAAGUUAAAGUUUGCUAUCCACCCAAGAGCCACGAAGAUGUACAAAGAUCUUAGGUUGAGCAAUUGGUGGCCCUGCAUGAAGAGAGAAAUAGCUUGGUUUGUGGAGUGGUGCUUGACUUGUAGGAAAUUCAAGCCCGAGCAUCAAAGACCCCAUGAAAAGAUACAACCUUUACCCAUUCUCAUGUAGAAGUGGGAAGAAAUUACUAUGGAUUUCAUCCCAAAAUUGCGUAGGACGGCAUGAAGUUUUGACUCCAUCUGGUUCAUUGUUGAUAGGUUGACCAAGAGUACAUAGUUCAUACCGAUUGCCGAGAGUAUAUCCGCAGAGAAGUUAGCGGACAUCUAAGUUCGGGAGGUAGUAGUUCGGCACAGGGUGUUGGUAUUGUUGAUUUCCGAUCAGGAUGUUAGGUUCACCUCUUGAUUUUGGAGGAAGUUCCAUGUGAAGUUAGGUACUCAAUGCACUUUAGUGCAACAUACCACCCUCAGACCGAUGGCCAGAGCGAGCGAACGAUUUAGACGCUCGCAGAUAUGCUCUAGGAUUAUGUGUUGGAUUUUGGAGGGAGUUGGGAUACUUACCUUCCAUUAGUUGAUUUCUCCUACAACAACAGUUAUCAUGCCAGUAUUGACUGACCACCAUUUGAUAUGUUGUAUGGAAGGAAGUGUAGGACUCCGGUUUGCUAGGGGGAGAGGUUGGGCAUCGAGUCAUGGGUAGUACAGAGGUUGUACUCAAGACUACAUAGUUGAUCCAUAGAUUACGGGUCGUGCAGAGUCGGUAUAAGAGUUAUGCAGAUCGACAGCGUUCAGAUCUCGAGUUUCAGGUGGGAGACUUGGUGCUUCUGAAGGUGUCACCUUGGAAAGGUGUCAUCCGAUUCAGGAAGUGAGGCAAGUUGAGCCCCAGAUUCAUUGGGCCUUUCAGGAUCUCAUCCCGGGUGGGCAAGGUCGCAUAUCGGUUGGAUUUGCCAGAUGAGAUCAACCAGAUUCAUAACACCUUCCAUGUGUUUUAGCUUCGGAAGUUUGUGGCCGAUGAGUUUGCAGUUAUUCCUCUGGAUGAGAUAUAGUUUGAUGAUCAUCUAAUUAUGUGGAGAGACCGAUGAAGAUUUUAGAUCGAAAUACGAAGGAUCUAUUCAACAAGGAAGUGUCAUUGGUCAAGGUCCAAUGGCAACAUCAGAAAGAUUCUAAAUGGACGUGGGAGCCGGAGGCGGAGAUGCGAGAGAUGUUAGGUCAUAAAUCGUGGUUUAUACUUUGCUUUUCAUAAGAUACUAGAUUUCUCGGUCUAGGACUGAAAACACCAUGUUUUGGUGUUGUUUGGGCCGAAAUCACAUGUGAUUUCGGUUAGGUUUAAUAUUCUUUUGUUUGGGUUUUGGGUUGGGCCUUUGCUAUUAGGUCUAAGUAUAAAUAGUGUCAUUUGAGCCUUGUAAUCAAAGGGGGACGUUUUGAGGGUUGCUAUAUGCUUAGAACGUGAUUUGGAGAGAAAAUAAAAGAGAACCAAGUGUAAUCAAGAAUCUUAUGUACCUGACUAUUCAAUAAUAGUGUGCAUUGAAGAUUAAUCGUUGUGUUCUUAUUCUAUAUCUCCUCUUCUCUAAUUCACUUGAUUGGGAUUCCGCACCUUCAAGUGAAUCUGAUUGAUACAUCGUAGUAUUUUGGGGUUUACAAUUGGUAUUAAAGCUUGGAUCGAUAUCAAUCGGGUCAUUGCAAACAGUUUUUAUUGGAGUUUCUUGGUGUUUUUGAUUUAUAUUUUACGAAUUUAUGGUUGUUUGUUCUUCGUGUUCUUUAUAUUUUUUGAGUUUUUAUCGAAUUUGGUCUUAAAAUUAAAAAAGUUUGUGUCUUUGGCAAGUUUUGAGUGAUAUUUGGUCAAAAUCUACGAAAUCUCGGAAGCCAGCCUUGUAUUCGGUCAUAUCCUCGGAAAUCUCAGCGACAGAUUCGCUCUCGGAUUAGGUCAGCAACAGUUUUCGGCGGCAGCAAGGGUUCUCAAUGCGAGGGUUUUCGGAGCGAGGUUCUCGGCUUCGGAAGUUCUCGGUCUCGCUGUUUUCGGCUUCGCAGGUUCUCGAUCGGACUUCUCAGCCUUGCAAUUUCGGUCAGCAGUUCUCGGUCUGAGAUUUUGCCCUCGCAACUUCGGCUGUAAUUUCGGAUUUUCAAGAUUUUGGCUUGUUUUUGGUCCAAAAACCACGUUUUCGAAUCUAAGGCCUCAUAUUUGGUCAAAAGGCCACAUAUUCGGUCAAAUAACUUCGUUUUUGGUCUAGAAAUUUUCGUUUUCGGUUUAUAAAUUUUUGUUUUCGAUCAAGGUUAUUUUUUUGGACAAAAAGUUUGAUUUUCAUGUUUGACUUUCAAAUUUGACUUUUGACUUUCAAUUUUGACUUGUAAGUUUGACUUUCAAGUUUGACUUUCGAGGUUUCAAGUCAAAUGACAUUUUUCUUGGCUUCAUAAUCAGAUCUAUUUUUGGUAAAUUAUUCUUUUUGGUGAAUAAUGAGUACUUCAAUCACCAAGGUUAAUGAAGCUUCAUGCUCUCAGUCCUGUGUAGAUAAAGUUAAUAAAUAUCGUGAGCGUAAUGAGUUAUUAGUUAGAGAGGUUUUUGACCUUAAAAAUGACAUUUAUGAAAUUAGAAAAGUCAACAAACCUCUUAAAGAAAAACUAGAUGCUCAAAACAAAGAUUUAAUUAGAAUGAGGGAAGAAUAUAGCACCAAAUGUGUCCAUCACCGUUAUGCCAAAGAGGAAAUUGUCAAAUUAACUGCUAAACUUGAUGCAUUAAAGGCUAAAUUUAAGGAUGUUGACUUUACUUUUAAGAAAUUUGAU